AGAAUCUGGUGAAAAAAUCUUCUAGGAGCAGCUAACAAGAAUCCUAAGACAGGAGUGUUUAUGGUUGGGUUGAGACACAUUCAGGAGCUGAGUGAUUGACAGCAAGAGGAAAAAGACAUGAGGUUAAUAAUUAUCAAAUAUAUGGCAAUGCUGGACUUUAGCUGAUCAUCGUGCUUCUGGAAAAUAACAAAAGUUGAGAUAUCUGUUCACCAUUUUGUGUGUCGAAGGACCACCUACUUUUUACAUAUGACAAGAACUACUCACCUCCACUCUUCAGAUUGCCAUUUCAGGACACCUCCUACAUCUGAGGAAACAUGUGUUGAUCUUGCAGUACUUUUCUCCUCCAAAUAAAAGCCAGUAUGAUAACAACUACACUAUCAGAAGUCUAAGCCAAAGGACAUUUCAGUUAUCCAAUCUUACAACAAAUACAUAUAAGCACCUAAUACGGGCUACUGUUGGUACCAGGGGCAUUGAGAACUUCAGAUUUGAUUAACACCCAAGAGCUGCUACCAUAAAAUAAACUAGGCAGCUACUAGGCAAUAAGAUGAGGCACAUGUGUAAAACUUCUGCUUUUAGCUUGGUGAAGAGUGGUUACACAGCCAUUAUUACAAAAAUUACAUUUUUCCACAAAUAAAGACAUCACCUGUCUAGAGAGUA